UGCUAGUCGCACGAGUUCAGACUCGUGGCGAAUAGCUCAGUAACACGUGGCCAAACUACCCUUCGGACCAUCAUACCCUCGGGAAACUGAGGUUAAUAAUGGAUACCACAGUCCACCUGGAAUGAGGACUGUGCCAACCGCUCCGGCGCCGAAGGAUGUGGCUGCGGCCGAUUAGGUAGACGGUGGGGUAACGGCCCACCGUGCCAAUAAUCGGUACGGGUCAUGAGAGUGAGAACCCGGAGACGGAAUCUGAGACAAGAUUCCGGGCCCUACGGGGCGCAGCAGGCGCGAAACCUUUACACUGCACGACAGUGCGAUAAGGGAAUCCCAAGUGCGUAGGCAUAGAGCCUACGCUUUUGUCCACCGUAGGGAGGUGGACGAAUAAGGGCUGGGCAAGACCGGUGCCAGCCGCCGCGGUAAUACCGGCAGCCCGAGUGAUGGCCGAUCUUAUUGGGCCUAAAGCGUCCGUAGCUGGCCGCGCAAGUCUAUCGGAAAAUCCACCCGCUCAACGGGUGGGCGUCCGGUAGAAACUGCGUGGCUUGGGACCGGAAGGCGCGACGGGUACGUCCGGGGUAGGAGUGAAAUCCCGUAAUCCUGGACGGACCGCCGAUGGCGAAAGCACGUCGCGAGAACGGAUCCGACAGUGAGGGACGAAAGCUAGGGUCUCGAACCGGAUUAGAUACCCGGGUAGUCCUAGCCGUAAACAAUGCCUGCUAGGUGUGGCUCCCACUACG
rnacentral:rRNA from 1 species